UUGACAACUGGGUGCCGCAGGGCUCGUCAUGGGGUAGCUAGCGUGUGAUUAACAGCCAGCUGCCUUUUGAAGGGCUAUAUGGCAUUGGUUUUUUA